AUGUGCAGGACAGGGAGAGUUUCACAGGGGAAGGGCAGAUGUGGCCUCUUAUUCCCACAUGGAUAGAUCUGCUCGGGGCUAAAGGACUCCGGGCAAACUGUCUCGAAGCGCGUACCAGAAAAAUAAAAGAGUUGACGUAAGCAUAAAGUGCUUUUCAGUAGCCGGCCAGCCGUGCGUUGGAGGCAGAAGGGAUCCCGAGCUGGGUACGGCAGAGCCGGU